UACAGAGGGGGCAAGCGUUAUUCGGAAUUAUUGGGCGUAAAGGGCGCGUAGGCGGCUUUUCAAGUGACGGGUGAAAUCCCUCGGCUUAACCGAGGAACUGCCUGUCAGACUGGAAGGCUUGAGACCGGGAGAGGUGAGUGGAAUUCCCAGUGUAGCGGUGAAAUGCGUAGAUAUUGGGAGGAACACCAGUGGCGAAGGCGGCUCACUGGACCGGCACUGACGCUGAGGAGCGAAAGCGUGGGGAGCGAUCCGG
rnacentral:rRNA from 1 species